UACGAAGGGGCUAGCGUUGCUCGGAAUCACUGGGCGUAAAGCGCACGUAGGCGGAUUGCUAAGUCAGGGGUGAAAUCCUGGAGCUCAACUCCAGAACUGCCUUUGAUACUGGCGAUCUCGAGUCCGGGAGAGGUGAGUGGAACUGCGAGUGUAGAGGUGAAAUUCGUAGAUAUUCGCAAGAACACCAGUGGCGAAGGCGGCUCACUGGCCCGGUACUGACGCUGAGGUGGCGAA
rnacentral:rRNA from 1 species